rnacentral:rRNA from 1 species
AGCCCAGCUUGCUGGGUGGAUCAGUUGGCGAACGGGUGAGUAACACGUGAGCAAUCUGCCCCUGACUCUGGGAUAAGCGCUGGAAACGGCGUCUAAUACUGGAUAUGAACCGUGGAGGCAUCUUCAACGGUUGGAAAGAUUUUUUGGUCAGGGAUGAGCUCGCGGCCUAUCAGCUUGUUGGUGAGGUAAUGGCUCACCAAGGCGUCGACGGGUAGCCGGCCUGAGAGGGUGACCGGCCACACUGGGACUGAGACACGGCCCAGACUCCUACGGGAGGCAGCAGUGGGGAAUAUUGCACAAUGGGCGCAAGCCUGAUGCAGCAACGCCGCGUGAGGGAUGACGGCCUUCGGGUUGUAAACCUCUUUUAGCAGGGAAGAAGCGAAAGUGACGGUACCUGCAGAAAAAGCGCCGGCUAACUACGUGCCAGCAGCCGCGGUAAUACGUAGGGCGCAAGCGUUAUCCGGAAUUAUUGGGCGUAAAGAGCUCGUAGGCGGUUUGUCGCGUCUGCUGUGAAAUCCCGAGGCUCAACCUCGGGUCUGCAGUGGGUACGGGCAGACUAGAGUGCGGUAGGGGAGAUUGGAAUUCCUGGUGUAGCGGUGGAAUGCGCAGAUAUCAGGAGGAACACCGAUGGCGAAGGCAGAUCUCUGGGCCGUAACUGACGCUGAAGAGCGAAAGGGUGGGGAGCAAACAGGCUUAGAUACCCUGGUAGUCCACCCCGUAAACGUUGGGAACUAGUUGUGGGGUCCAUUCCACGGAUUCCGUGACGCAGCUAACGCAUUAAGUUCCCCGCCUGGGGAGUACGGCCGCAAGGCUAAAACUCAAAGGAAUUGACGGGGACCCGCACAAGCGGCGGAGCAUGCGGAUUAAUUCGAUGCAACGCGAAGAACCUUACCAAGGCUUGACAUAUACGAGAACGCUGCAGAAAUGUAGAACUCUUUGGACACUCGUAAACAGGUGGUGCAUGGUUGUCGUCAGCUCGUGUCGUGAGAUGUUGGGUUAAGUCCCGCAACGAGCGCAACCCUCGUUCUAUGUUGCCAGCACGUAAUGGUGGGAACUCAUGGGAUACUGCCGGGGUCAACUCGGAGGAAGGUGGGGAUGACGUCAAAUCAUCAUGCCCCUUAUGUCUUGGGCUUCACGCAUGCUACAAUGGCCGGUACAAAGGGCUGCAAUACCGUAAGGUGGAGCGAAUCCCAAAAAGCCGGUCCCAGUUCGGAUUGAGGUCUGCAACUCGACCUCAUGAAGUCGGAGUCGCUAGUAAUCGCAGAUCAGCAACGCUGCGGUGAAUACGUUCCCGGGUCUUGUACACACCGCCCGUCAAGUCAUGAAAGUCGGUAACACCUGAAGGCCGGUGGCCCAAC